rnacentral:rRNA from 1 species
UACGUAGGGCGCAAGCGUUGUCCGGAAUUAUUGGGCGUAAAGAGCUUGUAGGUGGCUUGUCGCGUCUGCCGUGAAAACCCGAGGCUCAACCCCGGGUGUGCAGUGGGUACGGGCAGGCUGGAGUGCAGUAGGGGAGACUGGAAUUCCUGGUGUAGCGGUGAAAUGCGCAGAUAUCAGGAGGAACACCGAUGGCGAAGGCAGGUCUCUGGGCCAUUACUGACACUGAGAAGCGAAAGCAUGGGGAGCGAACAGG